AGCAUAUCAAUAAGCGGAGGAAAAGAAACCAACAGGGAUUGCUCUAGUAACGGCGAGUGAAGCAGCAAUAGCUCAAAUUUGAAAUCUGGCGUCUUCGACGUCCGAGUUGUAAUUUGUAGAGGAUGCUUCUGAGUAACCACCGACCUAAGUUCCUUGGAACAGGACGUCAUAGAGGGUGAGAAUCCCGUAUGCGGUCGGAAAGGUGCUCUAUACGUAGCUCCUUCGACGAGUCGAGUUGUUUGGGAAUGCAGCUCUAAAUGGGAGGUAAAUUUCUUCUAAAGCUAAAUAUUGGCCAGAGACCGAUAGCGCACAAGUAGAGUGAUCGAAAGAUGAAAAGCACUUUGGAAAGAGAGUUAAAAAGCACGUGAAAUUGUUAAAAGGGAAGGGAUUGCAACCAGACUUGCUCGCGGUGUUCCGCCGGUCUUCUGACCGGUCUACUCGCCGCGUUGCAGGCCAGCAUCGUCUGGUGCCGCUGGAUAAGACUUGAGGAAUGUAGCUCCCUCGGGAGUGUUAUAGCCUCUUGUGAUGCAGCGAGCGCCGGGCGAGGUCCGCGCUUCGGCUAGGAUGCUGGCGUAAUGGUCGUAAUCCGCCCGUCUUGAAACACGGACCAAGGAGUCUAACAUCUAUGCGAGUGUUCGGGUGUCAAACCCCUACGCGUAAUGAAAGUGAACGGAGGUGAGAACCGCAAGGUGCAUCAUCGACCGAUCCUGAUGUCUUCGGAUGGAUUUGAGUAAGAGCAUAGCUGUUGGGACCCGAAAGAUGGUGAACUAUGCCUGAAUAGGGUGAAGCCAGAGGAAACUCUGGUGGAGGCUCGCAGCGGUUCUGACGUGCAAAUCGAUCGUCAAAUUUGGGUAUAGGGGCGAAAGACUAAUCGAACCAUCUAGUAGCUGGUUCCUGC
rnacentral:rRNA from 3 species